rnacentral:rRNA from 1 species
AUUGAACGCUGGCGGCAGGCCUAACACAUGCAAGUCGAGCGGGGUUUUCGGACCUAGCGGCGGACGGGUGAGUAAUGCGUAGGAAGCUACCCGAUAGAGGGGGAUACCAGUUGGAAACGACUGUUAAUACCGCAUAAUGUCUACGGACCAAAGUGUGGGACCUUCGGGCCACAUGCUAUCGGAUGUGCCUACGGCGGAUUAGCUAGUUGGUGAGGUAAUGGCUCACCAAGGCGACGAUCCCUAGCUGGUUUGAGAGGAUGAUCAGCCACACUGGAACUGAGACACGGUCCAGACUCCUACGGGAGGCAGCAGUGGGGAAUAUUGGACAAUGGGCGCAAGCCUGAUCCAGCCAUGCCGCGUGUGUGAAGAAGGCCUUCGGGUUGUAAAGCACUUUCAGUAAGGAGGAAGCGUUGAGUGUUAAUAGUACUCAGCGUUGACGUUACUUACAGAAGAAGCACCGGCUAACUCUGUGCCAGCCGCCGCAGUAACAC